rnacentral:rRNA from 1 species
CGUGUGUGAAGAAGGCCCUCGGGUUGUAAAGCACUUUCAGCGAGGAAGAACGCCUAGCGGUUAAUACCCGCUAGGAAAGACAUCACUCGCAGAAGAAGCACCGGCUAACUCCGUGCCAGCAGCCGCGGUAAUACGGAGGGUGCAAGCGUUAAUCGGAAUUACUGGGCGUAAAGCGCGCGUAGGUGGCUUGAUAAGCCGGUUGUGAAAGCCCCGGGCUCAACCUGGGAACGGCAUCCGGAACUGUCAAGCUAGAGUGCAGGAGAGGAAGGUAGAAUUCCCGGUGUAGCGGUGAAAUGCGUAGAGAUCGGGAGGAAUACCAGUGGCGAAGGCGGCCUUCUGGACUGACACUGACACUGAGGUGCGAAAGCGUGGGUAGCAAACAGGAUUAGAUACCCUGGUAGUCCACGCCGUAAACGAUGUCGACCAGCCGUUGGGUGCCUAGCGCACUUUGUGGCGAAGUUAACGCGAUAAGUCGACCGCCUGGGGAGUACGGCCGCAAGGUUAAAACUCAAAUGAAUUGACGGGGGCCCGCACAAGCGGUGGAGCAUGUGGUUUAAUUCGAUGCAACGCGAAGAACCUUACCUACUCUUGACAUCCUGCGAAUUUGGUAGAGAUACCUUAGUGCCUUCGGGAACGCAGAGACAGGUGCUGCAUGGCUGUCGUCAGCUCGU